UGGGGAAUAUUGCACAAUGGGCGCAAGCCUGAUGCAGCCAUGCCGCGUGUAUGAAGAAGGCCUUCGGGUUGUAAAGUACUUUCAGCGGGGAGGAAGGGAGUAAAGUUAAUACCUUUGCUCAUUGACGUUACCCGCAGAAGAAGCACCGGCUAACUCCGUGCCAGCAGCCGCGGUAAUACGGAGGGUGCAAGCGUUAAUCGGAAUUACUGGGCGUAAAGCGCACGCAGGCGGUUUGUUAAGUCAGAUGUGAAAUCCCCGGGCUCAACCUGGGAACUGCAUCUGAUACUGGCAAGCUUGAGUCUCGUAGAGGGGGGUAGAAUUCCAGGUGUAGCGGUGAAAUGCGUAGAGAUCUGGAGGAAUACCGGUGGCGAAGGCGGCCCCCUAGACGAAGACUGACGCUCAGGUGCGAAAGCGUGGGGAGCAAACAGG
rnacentral:rRNA from 1 species